GACUCAUUGGCUCAGAGGCAGAGGGUCUGCCUCUAAACUGAAGGUCGUUGGUUCGAUUCCAGCAUGACGCA
rfam:Ascaris suum AG15110, whole genome shotgun sequence.